GUCCGAGUUGUAAUCUCGAGAAGUGUUUUCCGCGCCAGACCGCAUAUAAGUCUGUUGGAAUACAGCGUCAUAGUGGUGAGAACCCCGUAACUGAUGCGGAUGCCUGGUGCUCUGUGAUACACUUUCGAAGAGUCGAGUUGUUUGGGAAUGCAGCUCAAAUUGGGUGGUAAAUUCCAUCUAAAGCUAAAUAUUGGCGAGAGACCGAUAGCGAACAAGUACCGUGAGGGAAAGAUGAAAAGCACUUUGGAAAGAGAGUUAACAGUACGUGAAAUUGUUGGAAGGGGAAACGCUUGAAGUCAGACUUG
rnacentral:rRNA from 1 species